rnacentral:rRNA from 1 species
AACGAACGCUGGCGGCGUGCUUAACACAUGCAAGUCGAGCGAACAAGGCGGGAGGGAGUCCUCGGACAAAGCCCCGCUGCGUGAGCGGCGGACGGGUGAGUAACACGUGGGCAACCUGCCCUAUGCACAGGGAUAACGCACCGAAAGGCGUGCUAAUACCGGAUAAAGCGAAAUGUCCGCAUGGACGACUCGCCAAGGGUUUUGCGGCAUAGGAUGGGCCCGCGUCCCCUUAGCCAGUUGGUAAGGUAACGGCUCACAAAGGCUGCGAUGGGUAGCCGACCUGAGAGGGUGAUCGGCCACACUGGAACUGAGACACGGUCCAGACUCCUACGGGAGGCAGCAGUGGGGAAUAUUGCACAAUGGGCGAAAGCCUGAUGCAGCAACGCCGCGUGAGCGAUGAAGGCCUUCGGGUCGUAAAGCUCUGUCCCAAGGGAAGAUAAUGACGGUACCUUGGGAGGAAGCCCCGGCUAACUACGUGCCAGCAGCCGCCGUAACAC